GGAAGGGUUUCUGAGGCUCAGACGCAACCGAUCUACUGGUUCCUGUAUAUUUAUUCUAAAGAAAAACAGUACAAGGAGAGUGGAAAGAAAUUUUGAAAACAGAUCGGAAGGCCCAAAGCAAUAUACCGAGAAUCUCUUCAUGCCUCACAUGCCGAUCCGAGGCCAAUAUCGAGAUCCAGCAUUGGAAGAGACAGUUAUUUUGUUUCGAGUCUAAGGAAAGCUAAGAGCUAAUAGUUUUUGUCAAACUUCCGGUGAAAAAAUGCUGCUGAAAACAUUUGCCAAAGUUAUGACGAGCCAAGCCUUUGCAACUGGAUGAAUAGAAAUUUUAACAAAUCAAAUUUGAAGAUUAAAUAAAUAUUAACCCAUUUCAAAAUGACAUUAUGACAGAUU